rnacentral:rRNA from 1 species
GCGAACGGGUGAGUAAUAUAUCGGAACGUACCCUAGAGUGGGGGAUAACGUAGUGAAAGUUACGCUAAUACCGCAUACGAUCUAAGGAUGAAAGUGGGGGAUCGCAAGACCUCAUGCUCGUGGAGCGGCCGAUAUCUGAUUAGCUAGUUGGUAGGGUAAAAGCCUACCAAGGCAUCGAUCAGUAGCUGGUCUGAGAGGACGACCAGCCACACUGGAACUGAGACACGGUCCAGACUCCUACGGGAGGCAGCAGUGGGGAAUUUUGGACAAUGGGCGAAAGCCUGAUCCAGCAAUGCCGCGUGAGUGAAGAAGGCCUUCGGGUUGUAAAGCUCUUUUGUCAGGGAAGAAACGGUGAGAGCUAAUAUCUCUUGCUAAUGACGGUACCUGAAGAAUAAGCACCGGCUAACUACGUGCCAGCAGCCGCGGUAAUACGUAGGGUGCAAGCGUUAAUCGGAAUUACUGGGCGUAAAGCGUGCGCAGGCGGUUUUGUAAGUCUGAUGUGAAAUCCCCGGGCUCAACCUGGGAAUUGCAUUGGAGACUGCAAGGCUAGAAUCUGGCAGAGGGGGGUAGAAUUCCACGUGUAGCAGUGAAAUGCGUAGAUAUGUGGAGGAACACCGAUGGCGAAGGCAGCCCCCUGGGUCAAGAUUGACGCUCAUGCACGAAAGC